rnacentral:rRNA from 1 species
GACGUAGGGCGCGAGCGUUGUCCGGAUUUAUUGGGCGUAAAGAGCUCGUAGGCGGCUUGUCGCGUCGACUGUGAAAUCCCGCGGCUCAACUGCGGGUCUGCAGUCGAUACGGGCAGGCGUAGAGUUCGGUAGGGGAGACUGGAAUUCCUGGUGUAGCGGUGAAAUGCGCAGAUAUCAGGAGGAACACCGGUGGCGAAGGCGGUUCUCUGGGAAUAUCCUGACGCUGAGGAGCGAAAGUGUGGGGAGCGAACAGG